GGGAUGACUGUUGUAUUUUUGUUCUCCCAGAUCACUCUUCUAAUGUGACUGAUCUUGCAGAAUACAUUGCCACUGCGGCUUAGAAAAAUCCCCCAAAACCAGAGUGGAUGCUUGCAACUUGGUUGGAAUCCCUGUUUGGAAGUUGGGUUGCAGCGGUGGCUGGGCUGCAGCGUGUGUUUUAUGCUUGGCUCUCCAGAGGGUGGUGAAGUCUGCACAACGCAUCACCAGGGGCAAACUACCUGUCCUCCAGGACACCUACACCACUCCAGGACACCUACACCACCUCCAGGACACCUACACCACAGGAAGGCCAUAAAGAUCAUCAAGGACAACAACGACCCGAGCCACUGCCUGUUCACCCCGCUAUCAUCCAGAAGGCGAGGUCAGUACAGGUACAUCAAAGCAGGGACCGAGAGACUGAAAAACAGCUUCUAUCUCAAGGCCAUCAGACUGUUAAACAGCCACCACUAACAUUGAGUGGCUGCUGCCAACACACUGACUCAACUACAGCCACUUUAAUAAUGGGAAUUGAUGGGAAUUGAUGUAAAAUAUAUCACUAGCCACUUUAAACAAUGCACUUUAAUAUAAUGUUUACAUACCCUUCAUUACUCAUCUCAUAUGUAUACGUAUAUACUGUACUCUAUAUCAUCUACUGCAUCUUUAUGUAAACAUGUAUCACUAGCCACUUUAACUAUGCCACUUUGUUUAUAUACUCAUCUCAUAUGUAUAUACUGUGCUCGAUACCAUCUACUGCAUCUUGCCUAUGCCGCUCUGUACCAUCACUCAUUCAUAUAUCUUUAUGUACAUAUUCUUUAUCCCUUUACACUUGUGUGUAUAAGGUAGUAGUUUUGGAAUUGUUAGUUAGAUUACUCGUUGGUUAUUACUGCAUUGUCGGAACUAGAAGCACAAGCAUUUUGCUCCACUCACAUUAAUAUCUGCUAACCAUGUGUAUGUGACAAAUAAAUUUGAUUUGAUUUGA